rnacentral:rRNA from 1 species
UGACAUAUACCCUACAUCCGCCAGGGAACUACAAACAUUAGUUUAAAACCCAAAGGACUUGGCGGUGCUUUAGAACCCCCUAGAGGAGCCUGUUCUGGAACUGAUAACCCCCGUUAAACCUCACCCUCUCUUGCUAAUAACCGCCUAUAUACCGCCGUCGUCAGCUUACCCUGUGAAGGUACGAUAGUGAGCAAGAUUAGUACAACUCAAAACGCCAGGUCGAGGUGUAGUAUAUGGGAGGGGAAGAAAUGGGCUACAUUCGUGUACUCACGAACUACGAACAACUUAUUGAAAUGUAAGUUUGAAGGUGGAUUUAGCAGUAAGGGGGAAAUAGAGAGUCCCCUUGAAACUGGCCCUGAAGCGCG